GAAAGACAGUUCUUAUUCUUGGUUAGGGCAGCUCAGCAUUAUAAGAUGUCAAUUCCCCCUACAUUAAUUUAUAAAUUUAAUGCAGUACAAAAAAAUACCAACAAACAUUUCUCUGGAGUUAGUCAAGUUGAUAAUAAAGUUCACAUAGAAAAGCAAACAUGCAAGAAUUAUUAAUGGAAGUCCUUUUCUUUAGGAUAACUGGGAUGACGAUGAUGAUGAAAAAAAAGAGGAAGCAGAAGUAAAACCAGAGGUAAAAAUUUCAGAAAAGAAAAAAAUAGCAGAGAAGAUAAAAGAGAAAGAACGGCAACAGAAGAAAAGGCAAGAAGAAAUUAAAAAGAGGUUAGAAGAACCCGAAGAACCUA
rnacentral:lncRNA from 10 species